rnacentral:rRNA from 1 species
UACGGAGGGUGCAAGCGUUGUUCGGAAUCACUGGGCGUAAAGCGCAUGUAGGCGGGUCGGUGUGUCGGGUGUGAAAUACCGGGGCUCAACCCCGGGGCUGCGCCCGAAACUACCGGUCUUGAGUUCGGGAGAGGAACGUGGAAUUCCGGGUGUAGAGGUGAAAUUCGUAGAUAUCCGGAGGAACCCCAGAGGCGAAGGCGACGUUCUGGACCGAUACUGACGCUGAGAUGCGAAAGCGUGGGGAGCAAACAGA